GUAACACGUGGGUAACCUGCCUCAUAGGGGGGAAGUAGCCUUUCGAAAGGAAGAUUAAUACCGCAUAAGAUUGUAGUACCGCAUGGUACAGCAAUUAAAGGAGUAAUCCGCUAUGAGAUGGACCCGCGUCGCAUUAGCUAGUUGGUGAGGUAACGGCUCACCAAGGCGACGAUGCGUAGCCGACCUGAGAGGGUGAUCGGCCACAUUGGGACUGAGACACGGCCCAGACUCCUACGGGAGGCAGCAUG
rnacentral:rRNA from 1 species